CCCUUAGAUGUCCUGGGCUGCACGCGCGCUACACUGAUGUGUCCAGUAAGCACCUAACCUCUUCCGAAAGGAACGGGUAACCUUUGCAAAGCACAUCGUGAUGGGGAUAGAUUAUUGCAAUUAUUAGUCUUGAACGAGGAAUUCCUAGUAAGCACAAGUCAUCAGCUUGUGUUGAUUACGUCCCUGCCCUUUGUACACACCGCCCGGCGCUCCUACCGAUUGAAUGUUCCGGUGAGCUCUUCGGACUGCGCGGUCUGCAGUUUCUGCGUUCCGUGCGGAAAGUUGCGCAAACCUUAACAUUUAGAGGAAGGAGAAGUCGUAACA
rnacentral:rRNA from 1 species